rnacentral:lncRNA from 1 species
UGAAUAUUCCUGACUGCUCGAGAGAAAUCCUAAGUGGAGUGUAGAGACUCAGGAAUAUUUGAAAUUGAUGAUACAGGGAAGAGUUGGGGUUAUUUCCAAGAUGGAGCUGGAAGGGAAGGGGGCAAAACUUGCAAAGGCUUUUGACUCCACGUGUUCUUUGUUACUCUCAGGUGCUUUCUCCACCUCGGUGAGACUGGACAUUUUAACUUGCCUUCGGACAUCAAAGGACCUUGCCUGUUUAACCUGCUGUUUGGAUGGAGCAGCUCCAACUACUGGACUUUCUUCAGCUCAGCAGUCACUGUUGUCGGUCUCCUGAUGGGAAUCUCUCAUCAUAAGGUAAAAACCCUCAUCUUGAUUUCCCUGCAGAAUUCUAUUUGGCUUAAUAUAUUUAACAAGGAGGGAACUGCUUAUAGAAGCAAAUCCCUACUGAACUACCACAUACUGGAAACAGGAGAGAUCUUAGAUCCUUUGCUAUUACUUUAUGGUACUACUUAUGCUUAUAGCUUCUGAGUGGCUGUUACUUUCAGAAAUCCUUCCCUUUUCUAAGCACAUAGUGCCCCCUUCCUCACUUCUCGUAUCCUUAACCUUACUGCCAAAGACACUGAGCCUGGAUGUGUACUCUCAGAUUUAGCCAGAUUAACAUGAUUUGUGUUGCUUUCUCAAUGGCCCUUUUAAGUGUAUACUGGACAUAAGUUACAAGAAAAAUUAAGUACAAUUCCAGGAAGAACACAGUAUUUCUGUUUUAGAGUUAUACUCAUUCAGAGAGGCUAUUAUAUUCUCCCAGGGACUACCUACCAAAUCCCUUUCUAGUUAGAAAAAAAAAAAAUAAAGUAGGAAACCCAGAUGAGGAUUUGGUUCCCAAACAAUAGCAUAUAUAGGUUUGAUCAAAGAAAAAAAUUACAAUUUUAAAAUAGUGAAACUGGGAGUUCCCAUUGUGGCUCAGUGUAAUGAACCCAACUACUAUCCAUGAGGACACGGGUUCGAUCCCUGGUCUCGCUAAGUGGGCUAAAGGAUCUGGCACUGCCAUGAGUUCUGGUGUAGAUCUCAGAUGUGGCUCAGAUCCACCUUGCCAUGGCUGUGGCGCAGGCCACUGGCUACAGCUCUAAUUCGACCCCUAGGCUGGGAAUUUCCACAUGCUGCAGGUGCAGCC